rnacentral:lncRNA from 1 species
UCCAAUUGUUUUCACAAUUUUCUUGUUAGGAAGAACAAGAAAAGACUAAAACUAAACUCUAAAUGCUAAAAUUUGAUAAGAACUCUUCCUAAUGACUAACUCCUCUCUUGUCUAAUGAUUCUUACAUAUAUAAUGUUAAGAGAGUCAAAAAAUGUCCAAUGACAAGACAUGAAGCUUCCAUUCCACUCCCCUAGGGUUUCUUGAACAUGUGCAGUCGAAAUUCUGAGCUGGAAUUGAGUUGGAAAGUAAUACGAAAAUAGAGCAAGUUGCAGAAAAUUUGUGCACAAUAUGCGACUUUCACCCGUGUUUUCUAAGGUCGCAUAUUGUCUUCAAAUACGUUUUCUUGCUUCUUUUCUACUCCAAUUCAAUUCUAAGACUCAAAACAAGAUGUCUUCCGUUGAGUUCAUGCAUUGCUCCAAGAAUGAUUGCCUUGAAUAACCAACUUUCUUUCCAAAUUAUCGUUAAAUCAAGCUCUAAUAGAUUUGAAGUGUGUACUACUUGAUCCAACAUUUAAUAACUCUUCUCAAUUCCUGUAAAUAUAACCAAUAUUUGCACAUUAGGUUGCCCAAAUGAAAUUCACAAAAUUUUAGAAACUUAGGGAGCAAUUACAACUUAAAUCAUCAUAAGUUGUAUAAAAAAAUAAGCACAAAAUACUACUUAAUAAUACUAAUAAUAAACACUUAUCACUCGCGUCAGGACUCACUCAUAUGAGAGAUAACAUUUAUAUAGACCAAACUAUUAAUAAACCAUUCACUCUCAAGUACGUAUUCCAUCAAAACAAAAGUUGUCUUAAACUAUUUAAUAUGUACAUCCCUCAAAAGAAAGUGUGCAAAGCUUUAACGUUAAUUACAAAAUUCAUUUAAGCACAAAUUCAAGUCUCCAACUUAUACUACCGGCCUCUUCUCUUCCCCCCCCCCCGGCGUCCUCCACUCCUGUAAGGAAAACAACUAAAGGGGUUGAGCUAAUACCCAGUGAGGUUCCAAGUACAUCCAGUAGUCCAAUAGAAUCACAUAGCUCACAACCCAACAAAACAACACAUUACAACAAUUAAUAUUCUAAAACAAGUAACACAGUUAAUAUGAAAGGAUACGGUACUGAUACGGACUCUAGAGGUGGCUCUCGUCCAUUUUCAGACGUAGCACUUAGCUCCAUUUAGUAAUUCAAUGUCAUUUCCCAUGUUAAACAGUAACCAACAUUCUCCUUUCUUCCAAUGUUCGAUGAUCACUUUAGUGGGUUAUACUCGAGUAUACCAAUAAACAAUACCCAAGGACUAUCGACCUACUCGACCAAACUCAUUGUUGGCUCGAAUAGGCCAACCAUCGAUAGGGUUUGGGCCCAAAACAGUCAUGCAUAGUUAAUAGUAGCAGUUAAACAAUUAAUAGCUUCCAAGAGCAGUUAGGUCGAGUGCAAUAGAAUACACACUCGCUUUUCAACCAAUUUUUCACUCUAAACUAUUCAAACGUCAAUAAUCCAACAAGUAUCAGUCAACUAGGCACUUAACAUUUAUCACUCAUCAAUUAUUCAAUCACUACAAACAAAUGUAGAACACUCACUCAAAGUAGUUACAGUUCACUCCUCGGUGCUCGGUCCGUCCUCCGGUUCACCCUCAGCCUUCGGGAUAUUUGUAAAUUUAUUAGAUUAUUUGUUAAAUUUCGUAAAGUGAUGAUUAAGUGUAAUACUUGAUGAUAUUAAGGGUCUAAGUGAUUAUUCUAGCUUUUUAGGCUUACUUGAUUCUUUUAACUAAACUCAACUUAAUAUGAUACAAUUGGCUAAAAGUGUAUAUAUACCUAUAUGUAUGAUCCAAGAUGUUUAAAUGUAUGCAUAGAGUUUUGAGGUAAUCUUAAUACUUAUCUUGUUCUAGUAACCUUAUAUUUCCAAAGUUUAGGUAACUUAACCCACUUAAAUCUUAAAAUUCUAUGUUUCAUCGAAAUAUAGUAAGUUAAGGUGAUUAAGUGGUAGCUACAACUUACACUUUCUUAUAAAAGUUGGAAUCUAGGUCUUAAGGGUCAUUUUAGAAAUCAAAAUUCAAAGUUGAUAAAUUUCCUAGAGAUUGGCAGCUUAGUAUUCCUAUGAACUUUCUUUAUUUCAUCCUAUUUUUGGAUGAAUUUUUCACAGUAAAACUGUUAUAAGAUAGUUUGAAGAGGUUUUGAUCAAUUUUGGUUCAAGUUCCAUUUUAGAAUUCAAAGUUAAAAUCUAAACACUUGUUUUAGAAUGGUUCGAAACAGUUUUGCAACAAUGGGUAGUCAAGUUUCUUCCUUUAAUUUGCUAUAUUCUUGGUUAAACUUCCUCAAAUUCAAGGUACAUUUCACUAUCAUUCUGUUAUAGAUUAUUUUUUGUUAAGACUUAACUAAAAUUUCCAGAAAAACUCAGUAAUUCAACCGAAAUCAUCCAGUCAACUCAAAUCUGUCAAAACAGUUUCGCAUGCUAGACCGGCUCCCAUUUCUUUCUCUAAGAUUCAGUUAUUUCCUCCUAAAUCAGGACAACCACAAUAUACAGAGUAAAACAAAGGAUUAGGUUGUUUUUGAUCAAUAUAUGCAUAAAUUUCAGGUUACAAGAUGAAAUCUAACCUUGAGAAAACACAACAGCAUUCUCGGGUUCAAAGUUGGGAUUUCCAGCCAUAUGUCUUCACCAAAUUUUCAUUCAAUGUAUCAAACAUAACCAAAUUCGACAUGCAUUCACUUAUAUACUAAAAUGAGGUCAUGAAAUUUUGAAAUUCAACAAAACUCUCCAAUAAAUUUCAGUUUUUAAAACCAAAAGUUCAGCUAGCUUAACUGGACAAACUAUCAAACUAUCUCACAGCCUUGCAGUCUUUGUAUGAUCAUUUCAGCCCCUGCAAAUCCAAUUUUUACCAAGAAACUUGCAUGCAACCACAAAUACAGCAUAUACAGAGCACAUAACAUGAUUUUCCAGCCAAUUUCCUCCAAAACACCCAUUCAAAACUAGAAGAUUCAUCAUCGGCUAAGCUAGAAAUUUUCCAGCAGCCAUGCAAUCCUCCAAACAAGAAUUCCAGUCACAAAAGUCAAGAUUUUCACCAUAAAAACUCACAUGCUUGCUAAGAUUGAAGUGUUAGAAGGUAUAUGGAGUCACGAUAUGUCAAUUUACAACCAAAGUUUUAGAUAUAAAGUUAGAAAAAUCCCAACUUCUCUCCCACGAGUUCCAACAGAAAAUUCUAGCAAGUUUCUUCAAGCUUUCAUCCAAAGUCACCAACUUUCCACUAGAUUCAAUGGUAAAACAUUCUAUAUAUCAUAUAAAGAAAUAGAUAAGACAUAUAUCAUGAACUCCUAGUAAAAUUCCUCCAAAAUUUAGAAUGAAAAGCUGUGAAACUAAGCUCUCUUUUCCCCUCUGCCAAAGCUGGAAAUUUCUAGCAAGAAAUCAGUCUUCAAGUAAGGUUUUCUCUAGCAAAACUCCUCUUUUCUUCACUCAAAUUCAACAUGCAACAAGUACCUAGGUAUAUGGAGAGAAUGGAGGGUGUGGUUAGCAAAUUUUAACUCUUUUCCCCUGCCAAUAAAAGCUGGAAAUGCAGAAUCAGCUUCACCCCUUUCCCUCUCAGUUUUCAAGCAGCAAGUUGUCCAGAAAUUUCCAGCUUUUGGAUGAAAUUUCUCCAACUAAACCUCUUUUCUUGGUUCUAAUUCAAUCUAAGACACAACUAACUAAAAGUAGAAGGAAAAAGACGAAGAACUUAGUAAAUUACCUCUUAUUUCUUCAUGGUUUUGGGCUGGAAAAUUUUCUGGUCUCUCUCUCUUGAUUCCCUUAGCUAAAUGAGUUGAAGUUGUUUCUUGUUUCUUGGCUGGUGUUCCACAGUUGAAGAAGGAUGGAAGCUUCACGUUUUCUCUUGGUCUCUCAACUCUCUCUUUCUCUCUCAGUUUUAGAAGUGAUCGAGACAAGAAUGAACUAAAAUUGGUGUUUGGGAGGUUUUGUCUUGACAUAUCUUGC